UUGAUAUGACUAAUUGUAUUCACUCUACAUGUAUACCACAGCUGAUCAUUUUAUUUGCUGUUGAACAUGAUUGAGGUGAACCGAAGACACAUACAGAUAUAAUUGAAGGAAGUCUUAUGAUUAUUGAGAUGAAUUUUGACUUGAACAUUCAUUUUCAUACAUAUUUUAUUAUACAAGAUUUGUAGAUCAGAUGGCAGAGAGCGUGAGAAGAUCACUGUGUUCUAAGAUGGGACGCUGUGUAACUUGUAGAAGUUUACUUGCUGCUUACCUUGCGAAUCUGAAGUUGAAGUUAAAUGUACCUGUGCUACUAACCAUGCCUGUCUCCACAAAUGCGAGACUACAGUGUAGGCGGUCUUCCCUUGUGAGGAGGUGUCAUCUCAGAAAUUGCAGGUUAUUUUCCUCAGUUGGAUAUGAGAAAAUCUAUUUAACAGUAUAGUAUGGUGAGGAAAUAUGACCAGCACUUGCUGUUCAGCUGUGAAUUCUUGUGAUAUGUAAUAUUCAUGAUUCUUAAGUUACUGAACCGUUUUAAGACCAAAUGUGUAUAUUAAUAAAUGCUACAUUCUUGUGGAGAAUUUAGAAAUUGGAGUCUUUCUAGUAAAAACGUAAAACUAUCUCUGUGAAGGGCCAUAAGGUUGUGAGAUGAGGGUCCCACGUUAU